GGGUUGUGAGGUUAAGCGACUAAGCGUACACGGUGGAUGCCCUGGCAGUCAGAGGCGAUGAAGGACGUGCUAAUCUGCGAAAAGCGUCGGUAAGGUGAUAUGAACCGUUAUAACCGGCGAUGUCCGAAUGGGGAAACCCAGUGCAAUUCGUUGCACUAUCGUUAACUGAAUACAUAGGUUAACGAGGCGAACCGGGGAACUGAAACAUCUAAGUACCCCGAGGAAAAGAAAUCAACCGAGAUUCCCCAGUAGCGGCGAGCGAACGGGGAGCAGCCCAGAGUCUGAAUCAGCUUGUGUGUUAGUGGAACGGUCUGGAAAGUCCGACGGUACAGGGUGAUAGUCCCGUACACCAAAAUGCACAGGCUGUGAACUCGAAGAGUAGGGCGGGACACGUGGUAUCCUGUCUGAAUAUGGGGGGACCAUCCUCCAAGGCUAAAUACUCCUGACUGACCGAUAGUGAACCAGUACCGUGAGGGAAAGGCGAAAAGAACCCCGGCGAGGGGAGUGAAAAAGAACCUGAAACCGUGUACGUACAAGCAGUGGGAGCACCUUCGGGUGUGACUGCGUACCUUUUGUAUAAUGGGUCAGCGACUUAUAUUCUGUAGCAAGGUUAACCGUAUAGGGGAGCCGCAGGGAAACCGAGUCUUAACUGGGCGUUAAGUUGCAGGGUAUAGACCCGAAACCCGGUGAUCUAGCCAUGGGCAGGUUGAAGGUUGGGUAACACUAACUGGAGGACCGAACCGACUAAUGUUGAAAAAUUAGCGGAUGACUUGUGGCUGGGGGUGAAAGGCCAAUCAAACCGGGAGAUAGCUGGUUCUCCCCGAAAGCUAUUUAGGUAGCGCCUCGUGAACUCAUCUUCGGGGUAGAGCACUGUUUCGGCUAGGGGUCAUCCCGACUUACCAACCCGAUGCAAACUACGAAUACCGAAGAAUGUUAUCACGGGAGACACACGGCGGGUGCUAACGUCCGUCGUGAAGAGGGAAACAACCCAGACCGCCAGCUAAGGUCCCAAAGUCAUGGUUAAGUGGGAAACGAUGUGGGAAGGCACAGACAGCCAGGAUGUUGGCUUAGAAGCAGCCAUCAUUUAAAGAAAGCGUAAUAGCUCACUGGUCGAGUCGGCCUGCGCGGAAGAUGUAACGGGGCUAAACCAUGCACCGAAGCUGCGGCAGCGACACUAUGUGUUGUUGGGUAGGGGAGCGUUCUGUAAGCCUGCGAAGGUGUGCUGUGAGGCAUGCUGGAGGUAUCAGAAGUGCGAAUGCUGACAUAAGUAACGAUAAAGCGGGUGAAAAGCCCGCUCGCCGGAAGACCAAGGGUUCCUGUCCAACGUUAAUCGGGGCAGGGUGAGUCGACCCCUAAGGCGAGGCCGAAAGGCGUAGUCGAUGGGAAACAGGUUAAUAUUCCUGUACUUGGUGUUACUGCGAAGGGGGACGGAGAAGGCUAUGUUAGCCGGGCGACGGUUGUCCCGGUUUAAGCAUGUAGGCUGAUUGUCCAGGCAAAUCCGGAUAAUCAAGGCUGAGGUGUGAUGACGAGGCACUACGGUGCUGAAGUAACAAAUGCCCUGCUUCCAGGAAAAGCCUCUAAGCAUCAGGUAACAUUAAAUCGUACCCCAAACCGACACAGGUGGUCAGGUAGAGAAUACCAAGGCGCUUGAGAGAACUCGGGUGAAGGAACUAGGCAAAAUGGUGCCGUAACUUCGGGAGAAGGCACGCUGGUGUGUAGGUGAAGUCCCUGCGGAUGGAGCUGAGACCAGUCGAAGAUACCAGCUGGCUGCAACUGUUUAUUAAAAACACAGCACUGUGCAAACACGAAAGUGGACGUAUACGGUGUGACGCCUGCCCGGUGCCGGAAGGUUAAUUGAUGGGGUUAUCCGUAAGGAGAAGCUCUUGAUCGAAGCCCCGGUAAACGGCGGCCGUAACUAUAACGGUCCUAAGGUAGCGAAAUUCCUUGUCGGGUAAGUUCCGACCUGCACGAAUGGCGUAAUGAUGGCCAGGCUGUCUCCACCCGAGACUCAGUGAAAUUGAACUCGCUGUGAAGAUGCAGUGUACCCGCGGCAAGACGGAAAGACCCCGUGAACCUUUACUAUAGCUUGACACUGAACAUUGAGCCUUGAUGUGUAGGAUAGGUGGGAGGCUUUGAAGCGUGGACGCCAGUCUGCGUGGAGCCAACCUUGAAAUACCACCCUUUAAUGUUUGAUGUUCUAACGUUGGCCCCUGACCGGGGUUGCGGACAGUGUCUGGUGGGUAGUUUGACUGGGGCGGUCUCCUCCCAAAGCGUAACGGAGGAGCACGAAGGUUAGCUAAUCCUGGUCGGACAUCAGGAGGUUAGUGCAAUGGCAUAAGCUAGCUUGACUGCGAGCGUGACGGCGCGAGCAGGUGCGAAAGCAGGUCAUAGUGAUCCGGUGGUUCUGAAUGGAAGGGCCAUCGCUCAACGGAUAAAAGGUACUCCGGGGAUAACAGGCUGAUACCGCCCAAGAGUUCAUAUCGACGGCGGUGUUUGGCACCUCGAUGUCGGCUCAUCACAUCCUGGGCUGAAGUAGGUCCCAAGGGUAUGGCUGUUCGCCAUUUAAAGUGGUACGCGAGCUGGGUUUAGAACGUCGUGAGACAGUUCGGUCCCUAUCUGCCGUGGGCGCUGGAGAAUUGAGGGGGCUGCUCCUAGUACGAGAGGACCGGAGUGGACGCAUCACUGGUGUUCGGGUUGUCAUGCCAAUGGCACUGCCCGGUAGCUAAAUGCGGAAGAGAUAAGUGCUGAAAGCAUCUAAGCACGAAACUUGCCCGAGAUGAGUUCUCCCUGAGACUUUAAGUCUCCUGAAGGAACGUUAAAGACGAUGACGUUGAUAGGCCGGGUGUGUAAGCGCAGCGAUGCGUUGAGCUAACCGGUACUAAUGAACCGUGAGGCUUAACCUUACAACGCCGAAG
rnacentral:rRNA from 1 species